GACGGAGGAUGCAAGUGUUGUCCGGAAUCACUGGGCGUAAAGCGUCUGUAGGUUGUUUAAAAAGUCUGCAGUUAAAGGUUGAAGCUUAACUUCAAAAAUGCCGUAGAAACUUUUAAACUAGAGGAUGGUAGGGGUAGAGGGAAUUUCCAGUGGAGCGGUGAAAUGUGUAGAUAUUGGAAAGACCACCGAUGGCGAAGGCACUCUACUGGGCCAUGACUGACACUGAGAGACGAAAGCUAGGGGAGCAAAUGGG
rnacentral:rRNA from 1 species